rnacentral:rRNA from 1 species
UGGGGAAUAUUGGACAAUGGGCAAAAGCCUGAUCCAGCCAUGCCGCGUGUGUGAAGAAGGUCUUCGGAUUGUAAAGCACUUUAAGUUGGGAGGAAGGGCAGUAAGCGAAUACCUUGCUGUUUUGACGUUACCGACAGAAUAAGCACCGGCUAACUCUGUGCCAGCAGCCGCGGUAAUACAGAGGGUGCAAGCGUUAAUCGGAAUUACUGGGCGUAAAGCGCGCGUAGGUGGUUCGUUAAGUUGAAUGUGAAAGCCCCGGGCUCAACCUGGGAACUGCAUCCAAAACUGGCGGGCUAGAGUAGGGCAGAGGGUGGUGGAAUUUCCUGUGUAGCGGUGAAAUGCGUAGAUAUAGGAAGGAACACCAGUGGCGAAGGCGACCACCUGGGCUCAUACUGACACUGAGGUGCGAAAGCGUGGGGAGCAAACAGG